UACGUAGGUCCCGAGCGUUGUCCGGAUUUAUUGGGCGUAAAGCGAGCGCAGGUGGUUUAUUAAGUCUGGUGUAAAAGGCAGUGGCUUAACCAUUGUAUGCAUUGGAAACUGGUAGACUUGAGUGCAGGAGAGGAGAGUGGAAUUCCAUGUGUAGCGGUGAAAUGCGUAGAUAUAUGGAGGAACACCGGCGGCGAAAGCGGCUCUCUGGCCUGUAACUGACACUGAGGCUCGAAAGCGUGGGGAGCAAACAGG
rnacentral:rRNA from 1 species